AAAGAAGAGUCCUUUCAAAUCGGGCUGGUGGUGGAGUUGGCCGCAGUAGUGCCUGCCCAGGAGAGAAUCUUGCGGUGCCCCUGGCUCUCCCCCACUCACUGGCCACCUGCGUCUUCCCCUCAGUCCAUCCAGCCCACAGCUAACCUGGACCGGACCGAUGACUUGGUGUACCUCAAUGUCAUGGAGCUGGUGCGGGCCGUGCUGGAGCUCAAGAAUGAGCUCUGUCAGCUGCCCCCCGAGGGCUACGUGGUGGUGGUGAAGGUGAGAGCAGGGCUGGGUUGGGGAGGUGGAGGCGGCUCAACUCCGCCCUGGAAGGAAGGGGGACUGCGCUUCCUGUUGGCUGGCCCAGCAGAUCCUCUUAGAGCAAGCUGGGCCAGGGCCGCUCACGGGGGGCAAGCACCACCCCAGGAAAGCUCUCCCCAGGGGAAACCUGGCUCUCUCUAAUAGCCAGGAGUGGCAGCCAUCCUGCCCCUUUCUCUCCCUAGAAUGUGGGGCUGACCCUGCGGAAGCUCAUCGGGAGCGUGGACGAUCUCCUGCCUUCCUUGCCGUCGUCUUCACGGACAGAGAUCGAGGGCACCCAGAAACUGCUCAACAAAGACCUAGCAGAGCUCAUCAACAAGAUGCGGCUGGCGCAGCAGAACGCCGUGACUUCCCUGAGUGAGGAGUGCAAGAGGCAGAUGCUGACGGCUUCACACACCCUGGCCGUGGACGCCAAGAACCUGCUCGACGCUGUGGACCAGGCCAAGG
rnacentral:sRNA from 1 species